rnacentral:rRNA from 1 species
AGUAUCCUACGGGAGGCAGCAGUGAGGAAUAUUGGUCAAUGGACGGAAGUCCGAACCAGCCAUGCCACGUGCAGGAAGACGGCUCUAUGAGUUGUAAACUGCUUUUGUACAAGGGUAAACCUGAAUACGUGUAUUCAGCUGAAAGUACUGUACGAAUAAGGAUCGGCUAACUCCGUGCCAGCAGCCGCGGUAAUACGGAGGAUCCAAGCGUUAUCCGGAUUUAUUGGGUUUAAAGGGUGCGUAGGCGGAUUGAUAAGUUAGAGGUGAAAUGUCCGAGCUCAACU